GCGUUAUCGGAUUACUGGGCGUAAAGSGUCCGCAGGYUGUUUKGUAAGUCAGAUGUGAAAGCCCCGGGCUCAACCUGGGAACUGCAUYUGAAACUGCACAGGACUAGAGUAUGUGCGAGAGGGGGAGUGGAAUUCCRCGUGUAGCGGUGAAAUGCGUAGAUAUSYGGAGGAACACCGAUGGCGAAGGCAGCUCCCUGGGCCAAUACUGACGCUCAUGGACGAAAGCGUGGGGAGCAAACAGGAUUAGAUACCCUGGUAGUCCCAYGCCCUAAACGAUGUCUACUAGCUGUCGGGGCUUU
rnacentral:rRNA from 1 species